UAUUGAUAUGAAAGUCUCGGCUAAUGGU
rnacentral:sRNA from 1 species